rnacentral:tRNA from 1 species
GUCGGUGUAGCUCAGUGGUAGUGUGCAUGCUUAGUAUGUAUGAUGUCCUGGGUUUAAACCCCAGCUUCUCCC